CCUACGGGUGGCAGCAGUGAGGAAUAUUGGUCAAUGGACGCAAGUCUGAACCAGCCAUGCCGCGUGCAGGAAGACGGCUCUAUGAGUUGUAAACUGCUUUUGUACGAGGGUAAACGCAGAUACGCGUAUCUGUCUGAAAGUAUCGUACGAAUAAGGAUCGGCUAACUCCGUGCCAGCAGCCGCGGUAAUACGGAGGAUUCAAGCGUUAUCCGGAUUUAUUGGGUUUAAAGGGUGCGUAGGCGGUCGGAUAAGUUAGAGGUGAAAUCCCGAGGCUCAACUUCGGAAUUGCCUCUGAUACUGGUCGGCUAGAGAGUAGUUGCGGUAGGCGGAAUGUAUGGUGUAGCGGUGAAAUGCUUAGAGAUCAUACAGAACACCGAUUGCGAAGGCAGCUUACGAAGCUAAUACUGACGUUGAGGCACGAAAGCGUGGGGAGCGAACAGGAUUAGAUACCCGAGUAGUC
rnacentral:rRNA from 1 species